rnacentral:rRNA from 1 species
CCUACGGGGGGCAGCAGUGAGGAAUAUUGGACAAUGGGGGCAACCCUGAUCCAGCCAUGCCGCGUGUGUGAAGAAGGCCCUCGGGUUGUAAAGCACUUUCAGUGAGGAAGAACGCCUGGUGGUUAAUACCCAUCAGGAAAGACAUCACUCACAGAAGAAGCACCGGCUAACUCCGUGCCAGCAGCCGCGGUAAUACGGAGGGUGCGAGCGUUAAUCGGAAUUACUGGGCGUAAAGCGCGCGUAGGUGGCUUGAUAAGCCGGUUGUGAAAGCCCCGGGCUCAACCUGGGAACGGCAUCCGGAACUGUCAAGCUAGAGUGCAGGAGAGGAAGGUAGAAUUCCCGGUGUAGCGGUGAAAUGCGUAGAGAUCGGGAGGAAUACCAGUGGCGAAGGCGGCCUUCUGGACUGACACUGACACUGAGGUGCGAAAGCGUGGGUAGCAAACAGGAUUAGAUACCCCAGUAGUC